rnacentral:rRNA from 1 species
AUUGAACGCUGGCGGCAGGCCUAACACAUGCAAGUCGAGCGGAUGAAGGGAGCUUGCUCCUGGAUUCAGCGGCGGACGGGUGAGUAAUGCCUAGGAAUCUGCCUGGUAGUGGGGGAUAACGUCCGGAAACGGGCGCUAAUACCGCAUACGUCCUGAGGGAGAAAGUGGGGGAUCUUCGGACCUCACGCUAUCAGAUGAGCCUAGGUCGGAUUAGCUAGUUGGUGGGGUAAAGGCCUACCAAGGCGACGAUCCGUAACUGGUCUGAGAGGAUGAUCAGUCACUGUGGAACUGAAACACGGCCCGAACUCAGACGGGAGGAGGGGGUGGGAAAUUUUGAACAAGGGGCGAAGGCCUGCCCCACCCUGGCCGGUGGUGUAAGAAAGUUCUUCGAAUUUAAAAGCCUUUAAGUUGGGGAGGAAGGGAAGAAAUUAAAUCCCUUGGUGUUUAGCGUUACCAAAAAAAAAAAGCCCCGGCAAACUUCGUC